rnacentral:rRNA from 1 species
UUAAUUUGACUCAACACGGGAAACCUCACCAGGCCCGGACACCGGAAGGAUUGACAGAUUGAGAGCUCUUUCUUGAUUCGGUGGGUGGUGGUGCAUGGCCGUUCUUAGUUGGUGGAGCGAUUUGUCUGGUUAAUUCCGGUAACGAACGAGACUCUCACCUGCUAACUAGUCGUUUCCGGCAUCCUUCCGUGCUGCCGGCGGAAACCCUUCUUCUUAGAGGGACAAGCGGCUACUAGCCGCGCGAAACUGAGCAAUAACAGGUCUGUGAUGCCCUUAGAUGUUCUGGGCCGCACGCGCGCUACACUGAAGGAAUCAGCGUGUCCUCCUUGCCCGAAAGGGCCGGGCAACCCGUUGAACCUCCUUCGUGCUAGGGAUUGGGGCUUGCAAUUGUUUCCCAUGAACGAGGAAUUCCCAGUAAGCGCGAGUCAUAAGCUCGCGUUGAUUACGUCCCUGCCCUUUGUACACACCGCCCGUCGCUACUACCGAUUGAAUGAUUUAGUGAGGUCUUCGGACCGGUGCGCGGCUUCCGCCUCGUGCGGUGGCCGAUGCUACUGGGAAGAUGCCCAAACUUGAUUAUUUA